rnacentral:lncRNA from 1 species
GAUGAGAUUGAUGCAAUUGGUGGACGUCGAUUUAGUGAGGGAACAAGUGCAGACCGUGAAAUUCAGAGAACCUGUCUUUGUUUGAAGCCUUGCAUCAUUUUCAUGGAUGAGAUUGAUGCAAUUGGUGGACGUCGAUUUAGUGAGGGAACAAGUGCAGACCGUGAAAUUCAGAGAACGCUCAUGGAGUUGCUUAAUCAGUUGGAUGGAUUUGAUCAGCUUGGAAAGGUCGUUGAUCUAGUUGUAUAUCCCGAAGUAGCUAUAUUGCGGAUUUCUGUAGAUUAAAGAUCUGCGGUGUGCAUAGUACAUACUUUGUACUCCAUACUUCCUG